CGUGUGGUUCUAUUUUGUUGGUUUCUAGGACCGCCGUAAUGAUUAAUAGGGACAGUCGGGGGCAUCAGUAUUCAAUUGUCAGAGGUGAAAUUCUUGGAUUUAUUGAAGACUAACUACUGCGAAAGCAUUUGCCAAGGAUGUUUUCAUUAAUCAGGAACGAAAGUUAGGGGAUCGAAGACGAUCAGAUACCGUCGUAGUCUUAACCAUAAACUAUGCCGACUAGGGAUCGGACGAUGUUACAUUUUUGACGCGUUCGGCACCUUACGAGAAAUCAAAGUGCUUGGGCUCCAGGGGGAGUAUGGUCGCAAGGCUGAAACUUAAAGAAAUUGACGGAAGGGCACCACCAGGGGUGGAGCCUGCGGCUUAAUUUGACUCAACACGGGGAAACUCACCAGGUCCAGACACAAUGAGGAUUGACAGAUUGAGAGCUCUUUCUUGAUUUUGUGGGUGGUGGUGCAUGGCCGUUCUUAGUUGGUGGAGUGAUUUGUCUGCUUAAUUGCGAUAACGAACGAGACCUUAACCUGCUAAAUAGCCCGUAUUGCUUUGGCAGUACGCCGGCUUCUUAGAGGGACUAUCGGCUCAAGCCGAUGGAAGUUUGAGGCAAUAACAGGUCUGCGAUGCCCUUAGAUGUUCUGGGCCGCACGCGCGCUACACUGACGGAGCCAGCGAGUACUCCCUUGGCCGGAAGGCCUGGGUAAUCUUGUUAAACUCCGUCGUGC
rnacentral:rRNA from 1 species